rnacentral:lncRNA from 1 species
GCAGUCAAAUCAAUAACUUUCUCUGUCUCUGUCUCUUUCUCUCUCUCUUAAAAAGAGCUUGAAGAAUUUUUUCCAUGCAUCAUGAAACUGAUUGCUCAGAAAUGGAAAUUAUUUUGUGAUUUAGACCAGAUCUUGCUGUUGAAAUGUAGCUAAAGUGAUACACUAGAAGUGAAUUCUUGUAUGUUAUGAUUCAGGCUAGAGUGCCUGUAUUUAAACAAUGUUUUUAUUAAAGUAAUGUUUAGGCUAAGUCUCAGAUUUCAGUGAUGCAGAGAUCACAGAAUGCUUGGGUUGGAAGUGACCUUAAACACCAUCUGCUUCCAACCCCCUGCCAUGGGCAGGGACACCUCCCACCAGACCAGGUUGCCCAAAGCCCCAUCCAGCCUGGCCUUGAGCACCUCCAGGGGUAGGGCAUCCACAGCUUCUCCGGACAGCCUGUGUCAGUCCCUCACCACCCCUUGAGUACAGAAUUUCUUCCUUACAUCUAAUCUAAAUCUCUUUUAUUUAAGCUUAAAGCCAUUCCCCUUAGUCCCAUGACUCCACCCCCUGACCAAGAGUCCCUCCCCAGCUUUUGUGUAGGCCCCUGUAAGGUCACCCUGGAUCCUUCUCUUCUCCAGGCUGAACAGCCCCAGCUCUCUCAGCCUGUCUUUGCAGUAGAGGUGCUCUGGCCCUCUGAUCAUCCUUAUGGCCCCCUUCAGGACUUGCUCCAAGAGCUUCGUGUCCUUCUUGUGCUGGGGGCCCUAGAGCUGAACACAGCACUUCAGGUUUUUGGAGCUCUCAAGCCUAUCAGGUCCUACAUCCAGAUAAAUGUCCCAGACCACAUCCUACUGCAAGAUUACUGUUGUUUUUUUCCCAGUCCUGGAGGACGUUACGACUGGUGGUGGUAGCUUACAUUACCGACUGUUCAUAGGCUGUCACAUUCUACCACAGUCCUAAGGUAUCAUAUUUUGAAUUUUAUUUAUUUAUCUAUCUAUCUAUCUAUCUAUCUAUCUAUCUAUCUAUCUGUUUAUUUUAAAUGAAGGAUUCUUUUUAAAUAUGUUUAAUAGCAUAUUCUAAUUCAGUGAGAAACAGAAUAUUGGGUCACUUUUUUCAUUAACAGCUUCAAAAACAGCUUAGUCAAAGAUAAGGACGAGAAUAUAAGCUUUGGUUUCUAAAGAAGUUGACUCAUGAAGUCUAAAUUAGUGGGAACAAAAGAGAUAUUUACCUAAUUUUGUUUACACAUAAUUACUUCCAGUAAUUUUGUUUUCUUGUACCUUCUCUGGUAGUGAAUACUGUAAAGGGUACAAUGAUAAGAGAGUGAGGAACUCCUGUACAGCAUACACUAGUGCUGCUGUUUUACCCAUACCAGCCGUACCCUUUACUGAAUAUAGGUUAUAAUAUUAAAAUAAAAAUUGGAGUAUUUAAGGCA